ensembl:lncRNA
GUCUGCAGUAAAGCCGGGCUUCUUGUAUGAUGAAAGCAGAAAUUCACCUUCAGAGUUCGUCCCUGAGGGAAACGCAACGGGACUUCAGCAGCUGGAUUUCAGCGCGCUGCUGCUGUUCGCUCGCGUUUCCCGUUGGAUUUGAUGAGGUCCAAGAGGGCCCAAAGCUCUGCGCUAAAGCCAGCAGAUAAAGCACUUAAGAAGGGGAACUACUACCAGACAAGCAGAGAUGCAGAUCAGCCCUCCUACUACUGUAGAUGACUUGAAGUUCUAGGCUGGACCUACAGCCAGAAAUGCUUGCCUUGCUACUUGAUGAGAUGUGUGAGACACAACACUUCUCCUUCAAGAUUUAAGAUACCGUUCUUCUGGAGGAAAACACUGAAAGCAGUCCUAGAUGCACAUUUUGUUUUAAUCUCCUUUUUCCAAAACGGUGCGGGAGAAACUUUUCUUAGUGGCUAUGAUACAGUUGUUGGGGUGCACCCGAUGAAUGCAGGUUUCAAGGGCAGCUACCAGGUAUGUACAUUUGAAUGCAAGCCAAAUAAUAAUAUGCUGAAACGAAAUCUAUGCUUUAUAUAAAAGUUUGAUUUUUGGUAAUGAUUUACCUGUUGAAAAAAACAACAAAAAAGAAGCCAACUCCACAGUGCAAGAGAUGCUCCAGUGGGCUUACAGUCAGUCAAGAUAAAAAUUUUCAGGACUUAUUUUAAAGGUUAGCUUUAAUGGUGACUUUCUCAGCAAGACUAGAAAGGCACUUGAAUAACAGAAAAUUAAUGGUGUCCUGAGGUCUAGCAUAUCACUUUAUGAGGUGUCCAAAUCUGAGGUCAAUGCUCUAAUCUCCUUGAUCAGGUAGAGAAAUAUGCUUGAGAUAUUCUUCCAUGCAAAGCAGUGUUUGAAUGGCUGAGAGAACAAAAAGUGAUGCUUGAAAGGGAAGGAGGGAAGGCAGGAAAGUAGAAAAGAAGUAAGAAGACCUCAGAGUAAGCCAGGAGCCUGUAGCUUACUCCUGCGUUGCACCUAACAGGCUAUGCUCAUAAUGAUGGAAAAUACAUUGAUGAAAUUACCAAGAUCUGAGUGUUUUUCCAGAUCUAUGGUUGUCACACAUAAUCCAUCCAAAAAUAAUUUGCAUUUUAGAAACAGUUACCUUACAACCACACAAACUAAGGAACAAAAAGACUUCAAGUUAGAAUAGCUAUACUCAUAACUUUAACCUACAGAAUCAAACUGAGGGUAGUUUAGAAAAGCAUUUCCCCACAUAAAUGAAAAAAGAAUCAAGAAAAGAAAUCUUACAAAUACUUCUUAGCAGUGUUUUUUUUCCUUCUCCAUUUUCUAUCAUAGCUUUAUAGCUAAAAUGCAUGGAUUAAAAAGUAUUUCUAGGAUCAUGUCUUGCAACUAAACUAGAAGCUAUGAAAAGCAAGCUUAUAUACCUCUUCUUCAUUUCGAGCUGUGCCGUUUUGAACUGGUGUGCUCACACACCGUGGAGCUGCUUCCCAUGCCCCCGUAUCACAGCAGAGCCUUGGUUACUUUCUGCUGUUCCUCCUCUGCAGUCUGGUUUGAAGCUUGGGAGCUGAAACCAAUUCUAGAGCUUCUCUGGCGUCCUGCUUUAAAAGUUGCUCUCUGGCUCCAUCUUCUGUUUUGUUUGCUGAGUUUUGUUUUUCUCUUCUAGUUUUCCUAUAGCAGGGGGAGAUUUUUCUGAGUUUUGUAAGCUGUGUUUGUUUUAAAAAGUAGGUAAUUGCUUCUUGUGUGACAGCUGUGACCAUCAGGUGAGCGGGUGUCCCAUGGGGACCUGGUCCUUUCCCAGCUCUACCCAUUAGCUCUGGUUUUAGUGCUUGUUUCUGCAAGGUUGUUAAUUCUGCUAGAACCAGAGGGAAGAGCGCAGCCCCAAAAGCAGUAUCUACCCUUUUGGCAUGGUGGUAAUUGUUCUGCAAAAUGGUGAUCAUGAUAUGAUCUGACAACACAGUGAAACCUUGCAAGCCUUUCAGCUAGAACUGGCAAGCACUGGGGCCACCACGUAGGAGUAGUACAACUUAAUAAACAGCUUGGCUUUUGUGGGUACUAAAAAAAAACCGGUCCUUUGCUAGAGUGCUGAGCAAUUAUACAUGAGCAGUAUUUAUAAUACCAGGAACAAGCUUUUCAUAAAGAAAAAAAUGAUGUUGAUUAAAUGUUAGGCCAAAACACAUGCCCCUUUAAGCCACGAAGUAAACUGACUGCUGUUGCUCUCACUCUGCAAGAGGGACUAGUGUGGGAGAGAAGCUGCACUUUUCCUGAUUCAGUGCUUAGAUUCAAAAGUGCUCCAUUGACAGUGAGCCAGAUUUCAGUUUCUGAGGCCUCUUCCUCAAUCACCCAUGCAGAACCAAAGGGCUUGUACACACAAAAGGUAAAACCACUUGGCAACAAGUAGAGGCACCUCUCAAUAGCCAUUGAAUGCAGCAGUGGCUUACGCUUGCCUGUGAUUUUCUACUCUGUUGGUAAACUACAUGUUUUAUCACUUUACACUUCAUGGGAUCUUCUGUUUCUUCAAAACCUGUAGCUCUAUGCAACUGUAAAAAUCCGUCCUUAAAACUCUCUCCUAUGCAGUUGCCUUGUUUUGUCAGCAGUGAUAGCCUUCAUGAGAUAGUUACUAAAAAAAUUAAUUUCAGAUGUUACAUCAUUCUUAGAAGCACGUGGGAAAUAGAUAUAGGUCCAUUCUUUAUAUAGAAAGGCACCAAAGUGUUCAGUGGGAAAUGCAUUUGACCAUCUUCCUCAAAAGUACAAACUGUUGUAAAACUACACUCUUAUUUUGUUCCACCUAUUUAUCAUUCAUGCAAUGAACUAUACUGCCUAUCACAUUUCUGAUACUUGCUUAUUAUGACAGUUAUUAGCUUUAGGUGGGCAUUCAGAGAAUGGGGACCUAUCAGAAAUCAAAUCUGCUGUAUGUAGAAGUUCUAAAAAAAAAAGAUUAUCUUUAAAAUAUGUGCAAGGCACCUUACUGAGAAGAAGUACACUAAUUUUUCGCUGCCAUGCAAUUGCUGUUGGCUUUGUAACUGACUGUGAACAUGUGAGAACAAAAAAGUGAUGCUGUGUCAUUGUGUGGGCUGCAAAUGAGAACUCCUGGCUCAUGCAUUUUGCCCCAUAAGCAGUUCUGGUAUUGUAUGCAGUCUUAUUGCUGUUUCCUUUGUCCUCACUGAUCCAGCUAUACUAUCACUCACAUUUUGGGCUUCCAGCUUGGUGUCAAAAAUCUCUGUAAUUUAAAUCAGUCUUUUUUUGUGGAACUCUCUGAUCACUAAUUCUUAUAAGCUCAUUAUUCUUGUAUUUUUCUAGGCCUGAGGACUUCGGAACUUGUUCUUCUAAAUCUUCCUUCUCUGUGAUUUUGAAGAAUCAUAAAAUAGCAUCAAUAAAUUCAUAUUCUAUUUAGAAAAUGGAUUAAAGUCACCUACGUAACUUGGUUGAAAGGUAAAUAAUUUUAUCCUACAUAAUGCACAAACAAUACAAAAGCUUUGAAGUAUUUCCUUUUUCUUUUUUCCUAAAGUAUCCACAUAAGAACAUUCCUAGGGAAUAUCAAAGAACAUUUUCUUACAACAACUUGUGUCUUGCAAUUAUUUUCUUAAUUUUUCUUUACUUUACUACCAAUCACAUGAACCUGGAUGUUCCUAGGGUGACAAAAUGCUUUCAACCAUCUGAGCAUAUAGAAGUUGAAAAGAUC